rnacentral:rRNA from 1 species
GUGGGGAAUCUUGCGCAAUGGGCGAAAGCCUGACGCAGCCAUGCCGCGUGAAUGAUGAAGGUCUUAGGAUUGUAAAAUUCUUUCACCGGGGACGAUAAUGACGGUACCCGGAGAAGAAGCCCCGGCUAACUUCGUGCCAGCAGCCGCGGUAAUACGAAGGGGGCUAGCGUUGUUCGGAAUUACUGGGCGUAAAGGGCGCGUAGGCGGACAGUUUAGUCAGAGGUGAAAGCUCAGGGCUCAACCUUGGAAUUGCCUUUGAUACUGGCUGUCUGGAGUACGGGAGAGGUGAGUGGAACUCCGAGUGUAGAGGUGAAAUUCGUAGAUAUUCGGAAGAACACCAGUGGCGAAGGCGAAUCACUGGCACGUUACUGACGCUGAGGCGCGAAAGCGUGGGGAGCAAACAGGAUUAGAAACCCUGGUAGUCC